rnacentral:tmRNA from 1 species
GGGGACGACAGGAUUCGACAGGUGCGCACGGGCGCGGAUUGCGGGUCGAGGUGCCAUCAACCUCGUUAAUCCGGUGGCAAAAAGUAACCGGCGACACUCAACUCGCCCUCGCCGCUUAACUAGAGCGGUGACGUGGCGCGUGGCCCCCUCCCGACGGGCUGCGCGCCGCGACGUAAUGUCGGGAUGCUCGGCGGCGGUGCGCUUCAGGCCGUCGUUCGCUAAGACCACUGUGGCUGGCCGCACUGGCCCCCGGUCGACGGAGGGGCUGUGGCGAGAUGAACUCCGCCGACUACACCCGUAGCAGAUCCGCGACGCACGCACGCUGGACGGGGAGUUCGAUUCUCCCCCGUCUCCACCA